UACGUAGGUGGCAAGCGUUGUCCGGAAUCAUUGGGCGUAAAGAGCGUGUAGGCGGCUUGGUAAGUCCGCUGUGAAAGUCCAGGGCUCAACCCUGGAAUGCCGGUGGAAACUGUCAAGCUUGAGUCCGGAAGAGGCGAGUGGAAUUCCUGGUGUAGCGGUGAAAUGCGCAGAUAUCAGGAGGAACACCAAUGGCGAAGGCAGCUCGCUGGGACGGUACUGACGCUGAGACGCGAAAGCGUGGGGAGCAAACAGG
rnacentral:rRNA from 1 species